CCUCUGCUCCACGCUUGCCCCGACAUUUUCAAGUGGCAAAACUCCAGCCCGGUGAGGCCUAACCCACGCUCCACAGCUGCGCCAAGGGCGCUGCGUACGGCUGGAUACAACCUCCAGACCGUGCUGGCUCGUAUCACUGUCGGACUGUGAUCCCACACCUCAAGCAGAGCCUGGGUGCUGCCGGCAGACGGGCCGCGUGUCACCAUCUGUUCACCCUCUUGCUCUUCUCUUUCACCUUCUCUCUCCCACACACGUGCCACCCGCAUACGUGCCACCCGCACGCGUGCUUCCUCCUUGGUCCUGAGUGUUGCUCUUGCCUCCUCUUUCACUGUUGCAGACUCCGUGAGAGCCGGUGCCUGACUUUGUUUUGUGCGUUGGAUCUGGAACAACCUCUGGAACGUGGCAGACACUUAGCCGAGAAGCACGUUGAAUGCAUGAGUGAUGGCGUGUGCAGUGGACGACCGUGUCAUAGUCGCAGCCAGUGGAUGCGUUGACCACAGCGCAGCCAGGACGGACAACUGCGAAUCACCCGAUAUUGAAGGACCGCGUGCAGCGUGCAGCGCGACCAGAGCCGACAGACUGAAACCCAGUCUCUUGGAAAACAGAGGUGGCUGUGUCGUGUUUUCUCGAACGUCUCUCAGCAUGUGUCUUCCUCACUCCAGAACGCUGCCACAGCUCACGGACCUCUUAAAGUCUUCUUUUGAACUCGGGUGCAAUAUAAAUAAAGAGCUGAUGGAAACCCUCAGCAGUGAGAAGCUACCUUGGCAUCAUCUAUGGAGGAGGCCUUACCUGAGAGCGGAGGCUGGAAAGGACAUGCCCACAGCCGUGCCCUUCUGUGGCCUGGGUACCGUUCUCCCCCAAAUUCUGGACCCACACGGAUCCCAAGACCUCCUGGAGGAACACUCUUCUAACACUACGGACCUGUCUGCACACGGCGGUGGACGUGUUCCUGGAGGGUUUAUUUCCGCUCUGGAUGGAAAAGUCCAGUUGAGAGAGAGAGAGGUUGUGAAAACAGGAGACGGAAGAAAUAAUUAA
rnacentral:lncRNA from 1 species